rnacentral:rRNA from 1 species
UACGGGGGGGGCAAGCGUUGUUCGGAAUUACUGGGCGUAAAGGGCUCGUAGGCGGCCAACUAAGUCAGACGUGAAAUCCCCAGGCUUAACCUGGGAACUGCGUCGGAUACUGGAUGGCUUGAAUUCGGGAGAGGGAUGCAGAAUUCCAGGUGUAGCGGUGAAAUGCGUAGAUAUCUGGAGGAAUACCGGUGGCGAAGGCGGCAUCCUGGACCGGUAUUGACGCUGAGGCGCGAAGGCCAGGGGAGCAAACGGG